AUUAGCAGAAGUUUUAGUUAUGUUGAUUUUGUUAUAUGUUGUGUAAUAUUUGUCGUCUCUUUUCUAAAUACUGCACAUCUUUGUAUUGAUAUUCUAUCAUUUGAAAUUUCAUAUACAGAUUGUCCGUAUAUGAAAAUUCAUUAUACGUUUUUCAAUGAAUCUCUAAAUUGAUUACAUAUAUUUGAUCUAUGCGUGAUUGAAUUUGACAGUUUGAACUGUUUACCAAAAAUAAAUUCCAAUGAGUGCUACAGUUUAUUUCAACCAAGCUCAUUGUUUUGCGAUGUCCUCAGACUUGUGUGUGUGUUGUGACUGACUAGUGGGUGAAAUGGUGGCAGUCAUUUCAAGGUCUUUGUGCAGGUGAUUUUGAUCAAUGUUUUUUCAGCAAAUUCUGUUCCUCAGUGCUAGGUUUUAUUCUGGGGGAAUUAGGAUAUUCAACUUAUUUCGACAAAGGAUGUGACCAAUUUAUUAGCAGGAGCCUGUUAGCACUUUUUUUUCUUCAUCAGUUCUGACCAAAGGAGUCGGUCGGCGAGAGGUGCUAAACCUUCGUUGCUUAAUUACACACAAUGUAGACGAUAGCGAAGAUAUGAACUUGGAAUUUAUUGCUAGCCGGCUAUCUGCGUUUUACCACAUACUCAAUGUGAGCUUUGUUUAGAGAUUGGGCUUCGAUGAUGAAAUGAUCGGGAUAAUAUUCUGACAGAACUUGUGCCAAAGAAGUUAUGUUGGUUAAAACGGCGGCCGAAAACUUGCAAUUUUUUUACUAUCAUGUUUUUGUAUUCAUAAGUUAAAAUGUCUGGAUUUUGUUUUCCUAACCCCGUUUCCCAUUGAUCUGUGAUAUAUUCGUGCUAAGCGAAACCUUAACUGAUCCGAGAAAGAUUGAAUAUUCGGAAAAAAAGACGGGAUCGUUAUUUUUGGGAAUAACGUCGGUUACCGCCUCUUAUAAAAUAUACCCUAUGGCUAAUUUCUCCAGUUAGUCAAAUGGGACAUUUCUUGCUGUUCUUGAUUAUAACAGAAUUUAUAAAUGUAUGAUGUAUGACUUUCAAUAAAACAAUUUAUGAUAAA